AUUAAACGCUGGCGGCAUGCCUUACACAUGCAAGUCGAACGGCAGCACGGGGGCAACCCUGGUGGCGAGUGGCGGACGGGUGAGUAAAGCAUCGGAACGUAUCCUGGAGUGGGGGGAUAACGUAGCGAAAGUUACGCUAAUACCGCAUAUUCUGUGAGCAGGAAAGCAGGGGAUCGCAAGACCUUGCGCUCUGGGAGCGGCCGAUGUCGGAUUAGCUAGUUGGUGGGGUAAAGGCCUACCAAGGCGACGAUCCGUAGCGGGUCUGAGAGGAUGAUCCGCCACACUGGGACUGAGACACGGCCCAGACUCCUACGGGAGGCAGCAGUGGGGAAUUUUGGACAAUGGCGGAAGCCUGAUCCAGCCAUGCCGCGUGAGUGAAGAAGGCC
rnacentral:rRNA from 1 species